CCCGAUCUCCUCCCCUCGCCGUUUCUUCUCCUCUUCGUCUUCCCCAACCGACGCGACGCCUCUUCCUCCUCUUCUUCUCUCCUUUUUCUUCUCUUCUCCUCUCACCGCCACACACAACCAUCCCGAUUUUUCCCUUCCCCCGUGCCCUAACCUCACCUCUUUUCCCCGACGCUAACGCCACAAGGGAACUGAUCACCAGCGGCUAAGCAUCCCUUCUCCUCCAUCGAUUUCCCUGUUCAUCCGGUUGUCUUCUUCCCGAGUUGCUACCUCGUGCGGGCAGAUCUUCGAGCAAAGGAAAGGGGGGAAGGCUGAGCCGUAGCAUCGAUCUUCUCUUGUGAUCAAUCCAGUGCCGACACUUGCGCACCGCCCCGAUCGCUACCACCAUUGCUCGGCGACGCCGUUGCCAAAGGGGAAGGAGCCAACGCAAAGGGGGAAGGGCUACCAUUCGUGUCGUUCCAACCUCUAGACCGUGCUACUCCAGCCAAUCUAUCCCCUUGCUUUCUUCGACGUCGCGAGCCCUAACCCCUCAGUCUCCUCCCGAUUUAUUGUCGCUGGUCUCUCUGUCCACGAGUAAGGAGUUGCUGUUCAUAGCUGCACCCUUCUCCCCAAUCUUGCUGCCAGUGCCAAGCAACCACCAUCGGACCCUUCCCCUUUGUGAUUUAUCCGUGCCAUCUCCUCCGACAGUGAAUCAAUAGUGGUGACUAUGCGUUGAGCUACACCUAGUGCCGAUCACUCUUUCCGGCAGCAACUAUCCUCGGUUGUGAGUCAACAUCAAGUCUCUAGAUUCGAGACAUUGAUUUGGGGAGAGGAUCACAACGUGAAGUUUAUUUUGGAUACGAUCUCCAUUUUUGAGAUGGAUAUGGGUAAAAAUAAAGGAAAGGCUAAAAUGGCAUAGAAGAAGGCGACAAGGAGACACUGGUGAUGUGUGUGUGGAUGGCGGAGAUGGAAGAUUUGGGGACCUUGCUAAUAAAUUUCUGCAAGUUAAUUUAAUUAGUUUUCUUCUUAAAUAACUAGGAGAAGUUAGAGAGAUACAGAUUCUUUUGCUCUUUCUGUUUUGCUGUUUUGAAGUUGUUCAGAUGCUUUUGGUUCUGUUGAAUUUCUGGAACCAUUCGGAUGGUUAAAUGCAUGGUUAAAUGUUUGCUUAAAUGCUCAGAAGUUUUAUGCAUGCAGGAUUGUUAUAUGCUCAAUAUUUUCAGUGGUAUUCUUAUGCUCAGUAAUAUUGUUACA